rnacentral:rRNA from 1 species
CCUACGGGGUGCAGCAGUAGGGAAUAUUGCUCAAUGGGGGAAACCCUGAAGCAGCAACGCCGCGUGGAGGAUGAAGGUUUUCGGAUUGUAAACUCCUUUUGUUAGAGAAGAUAAUGACGGUAUCUAACGAAUAAGCACUGGCUAACUCAGUGCCAGCAGCCGCGGUAAUACGGAUGGUGCAAGCGUUACUCGUAAUCACUGGGCGUAAAGAGAGCGUAGACGGGAUAGCAAGUCAGAUGUGAAAUCCUAUGGCUUAACCAUAGAACUGCAUGUGAAACUGUUAUUCUAGAGGAUGGGUGAGGUAGGUGGAAUGCGUUGUGUAGGGGUAAAAUCCGUAGAGAUCAAGAGGAAUACUCAUUGCGAAGGCGACCUGCUAGAACAUAACUGACGCUGAUGCGCGAAAGCGUGGGGAGCAAACAGGAUUAGAUACCCCGGUAGUC